rnacentral:rRNA from 2 species
UGAGUGAAGAAGGGUUUCGGCUCGUAAAGCUCUGUUGUUGGAGAAGAACGUGCGUGAGAGUAACUGUUCACGCAGUGACGGUAUCCAACCAGAAAGUCACGGCUAACUACGUGCCAGCAGCCGCGGUAAUACGUAGGUGGCAAGCGUUAUCUGGAUUUAUUGGGCGUAAAGCGAGCGCAGGCGGUUGCUUAGGUCUGAUGUGAAAGCCUUCGGCUUAACCGAAGAAGGGCAUCGGAAACCGGGCGACUUGAGUGCAGAAGAGGACAGUGGAACUCCAUGUGUAGCGGUGGAAUGCGUAGAUAUAUGGAAGAACACCAGUGGCGAAGGCGGCUGUCUGGUCUGCAACUGACGCUGAGGCUCGAAAGCAUGGGUAGCGAACAGGAUUAGAUACCCUGGUAGUCCAUGCCGUAAACGAUGAGUGCUAGGUGUUGGGGGUUUCCGCCCUUCAGUGCCGGAGCUAACGCAUUAAGCACUCCGCCUGGGGAGUACGACCGCAAGGUUGAAACUCAAAGGAAUUGACGGGGGCCCGCACAAGCGGUGGAGCAUGUGGUUUAAUUCGAAGCUC